GUAGAGACUAGAGUCUCAUCUUGACAUUUGUCGUUGUCUUGGUGUGCUAGAGUUCUCUUAGAGGAAACGCUGACCCAUUUGAUCAGCUGGACUCUACAGUCCAGUCAAACAAAUGGGCAGGAACAAAA
rnacentral:snoRNA from 1 species